CAGGGGGCUAAACAUAGAGGGGACAAACAAGGGGAUUAAGUCGAUUACAUCAAUCCCAGUGAUUAACUGGUACCUAUUUAAUCAACCCGGAACGGAUGAAUGGUAAAGUCAACCUCGGCGGAAUUUGAACUCAGAA